rnacentral:rRNA from 1 species
GUCCUGGCCCUAAACGGUGCACGUUUGCUGUAAGAGGAAUCGACCCCUUUUGUGGCGAAGCUAACGCGUUAAACGUGCCGCCUGGGAAGUACGGCCGCAAGGUUAAAACUCAAAGAAAUUGACGGGGGCCUGCACAAGCGGUGGAGUAUGUGGCUUAAUUCGAUGCAACGCGAAGAACCUUACCUGGCCUUGACAUGCACAUAGUAGAAGCCUGAAAGGGUGACGAGGUAGCAAUACCAGUGUGCACAGGUGCUGCAUGGCUGUCGU